UCAUUCAUUUCAUUGCUGGUUUGGGUACAUAGGAAUACGUUAGUGGUAUAUUAAAGUCUUUCCUUCACAGUAUUUUGUAAUACUUGAAAAUUGUUACAUGUACACUGCUAGCAGAAGUUAGAAUUUAAACAUUUUUGUUUUUAAUAUUUAUAGGCUAGAUUAGGGGCACAUUUGCAUCAACGAAAUCACCAUUAGACCUAGCAAAAGAGGCAGAUAAAUGAAUGGAUAUGGUCACUGCACCUUCCUUUUACUUUCAAAGCCUAUUCCUUAAGGUUAGUGGCCAGUCUUUAUUAACAACAUGAAAAUGUUCUUCAUGUCUAAUCCUAUCAUAUCAAUAAUGCUGUGAUUUAUAGUAGAUUAUCAACACUUAAAAGUAUUCAGUGUGUGUAUGUUUCUGAUGCAAGUUUUCAUCACUUUUAUCAGAUUCUCAAGGGAAUCAGGAACUUUCCCUCAAAUUUUAAGAACCACCAUUUUAAGAAUACGCACACAUUUACCUACAUAUGCUCACACUAAGCAGUGUGGGGUCGCUAACACUGGCAUUGGCUGUUCACUAGUCCGUGUGCUUAGGUGAAGUAAUUUCUUCCAUGUUUCAAGGUCAAGUUAGUUAGUAGUUGAAUGAGGCAUAGAUUUAAAUUUAGGAUUAGGCUUUGGAAUAUAUCUUUUUUAAUUGUCUCACAUGUCCAGUGUUUCACUACUUAUCCCAUAUUAUGUUUCAAAUUCUUCCUCAUACUUCUUGAUCUUGGCUUAACUAAGGAAGUUAAUAUCAGAUUAGUUGACUAAACUGAAGAUUAACCAUUUUGUGCUUGUACAAAACCUUGUUAGCAUUUUGUUUUCAGCGAAUCAUAAACUCAGUUCACUAAGAAACAGAAGAUCAUGAGAGGAAAGAGAACUGGAAGGCAAAUAAAUAUUUAAGGAAAGAAUAAUUGUAGUCAGUAAAUUAAUGUUGGCAUAUGAAGCAGAUAUUUGUAAAAAUCCUGCUGGAGAAAAAUCUAGGCAAGAAUUUCCAGAACUGUCCUCACAUUUAUUUAAACUUUUUUUAAAAAGCAAAAACCAAAUUGAUUACAUUUUGAUUAACUUUCCUAUUUCAUGUACCACUUAGUUUAAAACAUGAAGGUAAACUUAUAGGCAUUACCGAUCACACAGUACUUAGACCAGUGUUUGAUAAGAUGGAGGCAUCAAAGAUAGUCUGUAAUUUACAUUUAAAGAAACUGGGCAUGUGGAAUUCUGGAUCAUUUUGUGUCCCAAAACCUGUUUCUGUCUUGCCUUGGGCAUACUUUCUGUGCCUCAAUUUACUCUUUAAAUAUGUGAAGGAUGCUCUUUAUGUAAAAAGGGCAUAGUAUAAGCACAAAGUAUUACUUAAAUUGUCACAAAUAUUACACAUCUUUUGCUCUUGGAUAUGCAGACUUUUUUCCCCAAUGACAUCAUGUCUCAAGUCAGGUUUUUUUUUAAUGCUGUCAAAAUUUGUAGAAUUGUCUUGUCUUUGAAUAUGGCAUCAUCUCUUUCUAAAAUAUACUUUAGAGUUGCUUUUGUGUUCUGUAGACUAUAGGGUCAAAAUCAAGAGUAUUUUGGAAGAAAUCAGACAUUUCAUACUUAACAACCUAAUAUUUCCCCCCCCUCCCAAUAUCUUUCACAGAGCUAAAUAUUUAGAUUCUCUUUGCCUUUUCCUUCAUGGAAUAAAGUACAAUGGCAUCUGGUUACCAAUACGUGCAGUAUAAAAUUUUUGCAUAGGUGGAAUUCAUUUAGAUCUCUCAAGUACUAUCUUAGGGUUAUUUCAAUUAUUUGUAUUUUUCAGUGUAAAAUAUUAUUUGGUAAUGUGCAGUUAAAUUCCUUUUAGAAGUGAUUGAAGAUAGUAAAAGAGCUCAUCGGAAUCUUAGAGUUCUUAGGUUCUCUGAUAAUUUAGUGUCUUUUGUUAGUGAUGUCCAAUACUUAAAAAACUGCUGGAAAAACAUGAAGAAUUGAUGUUACUCUUCUCAGGUAACACUUUUAAAUAAACUAAAAUUUAAAAUCAAAGGCUUCCUGAACAAAAUAAAUUACAAAAUUGAGAUAAUGGAAUGUGAAAGACAAAUUGUAAGACUCUGGUAAGCUUAAUUUAUUUUGAAGAUCUAUCUAAAAAUUUCAUUUCAUGGCUCUGAAUCCUAGUGUUUCUGCUGUUAGAAAUUAGAGUUUAAUAAAUUGUGAUAUGCAUUUUUUACAUGAAAGAUUCUAGUUUCUAAUUUCACUUUUCUGAUCUCAAGAAAAUAAAACAUGAAAAACAGGGUAAAAUUCUUCAACUAUUAUUGCACUCAGGUUCAGCUUUGUCCUAUCGUCCUGAGAAAGGAGAUUGAGACUUGUCUACCUAACACAGAUAUAUUUUAGGGCAUGGUACUAUCCCAGAGAAGGUGUUGAGAUACCAUGUCAGAAAUAUAAAACUUAAGCUUUGAACCACGUUUAGAUUUAAAGAACAAAAAGAUGUAUUAUUAUUUUACAAUAAGUCUGAUAUUCCAAGGGUUUCUUCAAACCACUUAAUAACUUGUCACCGUUAACUUUAAGAACCACUUUAAUCCACACUGUCACACCCUGCUUUGAGAAGCAAGGAUGCCUCAUAAAUUAGAGGAUGCACAAAGCGGAGUUCUGUGGAAGGUGAUCCUGGCUCCUUUGGCUCUCAUAGUUAUUUUACAGCUUUUAAUAGGAAGUCAGGAAACUGAAAUGCUCAUUUAAAUUCCCAAAUCAGUGACCUGUCCAAAUGGGCAUUGUAGCUGAAAUAACUUACAAAACAGUUCUCACUAAUGCAAUGUGUUUUAAGACUAAGAUUAGUAUUUAAUCAUUGAAGAUCUGUCUUGUAUGUCUCUCAACUUUGUUAAGAGUUUUUAUUGUUUUUUACAUGCAACUUGUAUGAAAUAACCAUUUUUUGUCCAGAGUAUAUAGGAUAUCUUAGCUUUACAGAUGUUUAAAGGUGAGGUUUUGAAAAGCCUCCAAUGGUUUUUGUUAAAAGACUGUCUUCCUUAAUAACAUGACAACUUGUUACAGAUCCACACAUUACAAGUAGGACAAUAUAGUAAAAGAUUGUUGUAUAAUUGCUACACAGUAGUCAGCAAAAGGGAUAAUUUUAGCUUGUAGAACUUCAGAGGUACCCUGAAGUCAUUUUCUAAAGCUAGUGCAUGCGAAUAUUUUUCCUUGAACUGUGCAGAAUAAUUGGAUGGAGGCACAUAUUUUGGGGAGUAACAAAGGGAAUGGUAUAAUGACUGCAGGAAAAAUAAUCUUGAAAUAUAGCCAGAAAGUGAAACAAGUUUUCUUCUUCCACUUUACUGUCGGACUAAUUGGAUCAAGAAUUUGUUAUGACAUAUCAUAGAUCUCUUUGUGCUAGGCCAAGAUUGGCCAGUUGAGUUCUCAAAGAGUUUAUAUAUAGAUUGUAUAUGAGUGCUUAUUUUUCCUCCUUUCAUUUUCUAUCUUAAUACCCUUUUGACUUCUGAAAUUAUUUGUUUUGCUUUAUGACCAGCUUUAAUUUCAAUUAAAGAAUAAUAGCAACUCUAGAGAUUAACAGGAAAGAAUAUUGAAAUACAUUUUCUGAAUAAAGACACCUAAAACCGUCUACCCAGCUUAGCCUUGAACUGAACUGUGAAAUAAAUUUAUGUUUCAAAUGCUAAUUAUGCUAAAACUAAUUCUUUAAAAACUGUGUCUUAAGUUUCAAAAGUUACACUUUGGGGGGAUAUUCCUAAAAAGACAUUUUGAACAUAGAUGAGAAAGUAUAAAAUAUUUCUGACAGAAUUAUUCAGUAUUAUUCAACAUUUAAUUUCAUGUUUGUUAUUGUACCACAAGGGUAGUGUCAUUGUUGGAUUAAAAUGUUGGAUGUUUUUGUUAAUAUACUUAAAACUGUAAACAGUGAAUAACACCUGUAGUAUUUUUUAUUAUAGAUUAUAUUUUAUUUCAAUAAACUUUGAUAUUUAGACCA